rnacentral:rRNA from 1 species
UGGGGAAUAUUGCGCAAUGGGCGAAAGCCUGACGCAGCAACGCCGCGUGAGUGAUGAAGGCCUUCGGGUCGUAAAGCUCUGUCGGAGGGAACGAAUGCUCUUGAGGUUAACAGCCUCGGGAGGUGACGGUACCCUCAAAGGAAGCACCGGCUAACUCUGUGCCAGCAGCCGCGGUAAUACAGAGGGUGCAAGCGUUGUUCGGAAUCAUUGGGCGUAAAGGGCGUGUAGGCGGUCCGGUAAGUAGGGGGUGAAAUCUCAUGGCUCAACUGUGAGGCUGCCUUCUAGACUGCCAGGCUUGAGCACAGUAGAGGCGAGUGGAAUUCCCGGUGUAGCGGUGGAAUGCGUAGAGAUCAGGAGGAACACCGAUGGCGAAGGCAGGCUCCUGGGCCAGCACUGACACUCAUGCACGAAAGCGUGGGGAGCAAACAGGAUUAGAUACCCCCGUAGUCCCUGAGCGGGCUGGCAAGGCGCAU